rnacentral:rRNA from 1 species
GUGGGGAAUAUUGGACAAUGGGCGAAAGCCUGAUCCAGCCAUGCCGCGUGUGUGAAGAAGGUCUUCGGAUUGUAAAGCACUUUAAGUUGGGAGGAAGGGCAGUAAGUUAAUACCUUGCUGUUUUGACGUUACCGACAGAAUAAGCACCGGCUAACUUCGUGCCAGCAGCCGCGGUAAUACGAAGGGUGCAAGCGUUAAUCGGAAUUACUGGGCGUAAAGCGCGCGUAGGUGGUUUUGUAAGUUGAAGGUGAAAUCCCCGGGCUCAACCUGGGAACUGCCUCCAAAACUGCAUGACUAGAGUACGGUAGAGGGUAGUGGAAUUUCCUGUGUAGCGGUGAAAUGCGUAGAUAUAGGAAGGAACACCAGUGGCGAAGGCGACUACCUGGACUGAUACUGACACUGAGGUGCGAAAGCGUGGGGAGCAAACAGGAUUAGAUACCCGAGUAGUCC